AACGAACGCUGGCGGCAGGCUUAACACAUGCAAGUCGAACGCCCCGCAAGGGGAGUGGCAGACGGGUGAGUAACGCGUGGGAAUCUACCUAGUUCUACGGAACAACUGAGGGAAACUUCAGCUAAUACCGUAUACGCCCUAAGGGGGAAAGAUUUAUCGGAAUUAGAUGAGCCCGCGUUGGAUUAGCUAGUUGGUGGGGUAAUGGCCUACCAAGGCGACGAUCUAUAGCUGGUCUGAGAGGAUGAUCAGCCACACUGGGACUGAGACACGGCCCAGACUCCUACGGGAGGCAGCAGUGGGGAAUAUUGGACAAUGGGCGCAAGCCUGAUCCAGCCAUGCCGCGUGAGUGAUGAAGGCCUUAGGGUUGUAAAGCUCUUUCAGUGGGGACGAUAAUGACGGUACCCACAGAAGAAGCCCCGGCUAACUUCGUGCCAGCCGCCGCCGCAGUAA
rnacentral:rRNA from 1 species